AUGUUGCAUAUCCUUUGCCAAUUUUGUAAAUUGGUAGUGGAUAAGGGGGCAAAUUUGAUUUUUCAAAUUUGUUAGCAGAAUUUGCCUCCUUAUCUUUUGCCGAUUCACAAAGUUGCCACUUAAAAAUGUAAGCGU